UCGAGCGGAUCUUGUGACCUAGCUUGCUAGGUUAUGGGGUCAGCGGCGAACGGGUGAGUAACACGUGGAUAACCUACCCCGCAAUUCGGGAUAACACUCCGAAAGGAGUGCUAAUACCGGAUAGUACCGGGGCUCGCAUGAGCCCUGGCGAAAAGGAGCAAUCCGAUGCGGGAUGGGUCCGCGUCCCAUUAGCUAGUUGGUGAGGUAACGGCUCACCAAGGCGACGAUGGGUAGCCGGCCUGAGAGGGUGAACGGCCACACUGGGACUGAGAUACGGCCCAGACUCCUACGGGAGGCAGCAGUCGGGAAUAUUCCACAAUGGGCGAAAGCCUGAUGGAGCGACGCCGCGUGAGUGAUGAAGGCCUUCGGGUCGUAAAGCUCUGUUACCAGGGACGAAACAAGACGGUACCUGGGGAGGAAGCCACGGCUAACUACGUGCCAGCAGCCGCGGUAAUACGUAGGUGGCGAGCGUUGUCCGGAAUUAUUGGGCGUAAAGGGCGCGUAGGCGGUUCAUUAAGUCAGGUGUGAAAGCCCCCGGCUCAACUGGGGAGAGCCACCUGAUACUGGUGAACUAGAGUGCAGGAGAGGAAAGUGGAAUUCCAUGUGUAGCGGUGAAAUGCGUAGAUAUAUGGAGGAACACCAGUGGCGAAGGCGGCUUUCUGGACUGCAACUGACGCUGAGGCGCGAAAGCUGGGGGAGCGAACGGGAUUAGAUACCCCGGUAGUC
rnacentral:rRNA from 1 species